UCUGUGUGGGCGCGCAGCCAAGCGCAGGAGACUCUGGCAACCUGAAUGCGCUGAUCGGUUGGGAGCAAGCGCGGGACGGUAGGCUGCUGCAGCUGGAUGCGCUGGGAUUCUGCCCGCUGCUUCCUCUCAAGUGGGACGUUAAAGGCCUGUUCUGUGGCCGGGUGAUCUUGACGAGGGGGCUGCUGCGAAAGCUCUCUCCUGUGAGCUGAAUAGUCGUGCUCCUCUUGGGACAAUAUGCGCUGUCUUCAGCAGCUUUGCUGAUGAGAGAAGCCAGGCCUCACGGCAUAGCGCUCUAUAGAGAAUGAGAACACUCCCAGAACAAUCCCCUGGGAUGGAUCUCACACAGGAUGGGAAAGAAAACUAAGAAAGCCCUAAACUGAAGGAAUGCGACUCAGAUCACGGCCCCCCAGAUGCUCCUCCAGCGCUGGCAGAGUCCAAGAUCGUGCGCCUGUCAGACUGCGACCAUCUCUUCCACACGCAUUGCAUCUUCUCCCCGAGUGACGGAUAUGUCUGAGCAGGGAGCUGUUCACCUUGGAAAACAGAGGUCAGGCUUAUGAGAAAAAAGGAAAUUUACUUCUGACAUUGUAGCGAUUCGCCAUACAAUUUUUGCUUCUGGCCUUGAUAUCGAUUUGGUUGCUUUGUUGUGCACCUCCAUCAUGGUCUCCAAGAGCGUUACUGUAAAGGAACAUGUGCGUUGCAGGGACCUGUGGUCGCCUGAGGAAGAUCAGAAGCUAUCAAGAACCAUGGACUUGGCCGAUUUUUAUAUUGGGAACCAUUGGCGUCGUGGUUGCCACAAGUCAAGCUCUGGGCUGCCGCUCUGACGCAACAAGCUGCUCGCUUUUGCGCUCCCACAUUAUUCUCGCUAGCUCCUGCCAAGAGGAUUUGGCUGAAUCCGAGUUUAGUGUGUUCUUGGGUCUUUUUCGCUUGCACGACGGUGGAUUAUAGCUCCCUGACGCAACAUGUCGCCAUGUUCUCCAAA